CUUUUAUGGAGAGUUUGAUCCUGGCUCAGGAUGAACGCUGGCGGCGUGCCUAAUACAUGCAAGUCGAGC
rnacentral:rRNA from 1 species